rnacentral:rRNA from 1 species
UCUCCACCCGAGACUCAGUGAAAUUGAACUCGCUGUGAAGAUGCAGUGUACCCGCGGCAAGACGGAAAGACCCCGUGAACCUUUACUAUAGCUUGACACUGAACAUUGAGCCUUGAUGUGUAGGAUAGGUGGGAGGCUUUGAAGUGUGGACGCCAGUCUGCAUGGAGCCGACCUUGAAAUACCACCCUUUAAUGUUUGAUGUUCUAACGUUGACCCGUAAUCCGGGUUGCGGACAGUGUCUGGUGGGUAGUUUGACUGGGGCGGUCUCCUCCUAAAGAGUAACGGAGGAGCACGAAGGUUGGCUAAUCCUGGUCGGACAUCAGGAGGUUAGUGCAAUGGCAUAAGCCAGCUUGACUGCGAGCGUGACGGCGCGAGCAGGUGCGAAAGCAGGUCAUAGUGAUCCGGUGGUUCUGAAUGGAAGGGCCAUCGCUCAACGGAUAAAAGGUACUCCGGGGAUAACAGGCUGAUACCGCCCAAGAGUUCAUAUCGACGGCGGUGUUUGGCACCUCGAUGUCGGCUCAUCACAUCCUGGGGCUGAAGUAGGUCCCAAGGGUAUGGCUGUUCGCCAUUUAAAGUGGUACGCGAGCUGGGUUUAGAACGUCGUGAGACAGUUCGGUCCCUAUCUGCCGUGGGCGCUGGAGAACUGAGGGGGGCUGCUCCUAGUACGAGAGGACCGGAGUGGACGCAUCACUGGUGUUCGGGUUGUCAUGCCAAUGGCACUGCCCGGUAGCUAAAUGCGGAAGAGAUAAGUGCUGAAAGCAUCUAAGCACGAAACUUGCCCCGAGAUGAGUUCUCCCUGACUCCUUGAGAGUCCUGAAGGAACGUUGAAGACGACGACGUUGAUAGGCCGGGUGUGUAAGCGCAGCGAUGCGUUGAGCUAACCGGUACUAAUGAACCGUGAGG